AUUAAGGAGGUGUCUGCUGUCUUCUCUGUGAAGUCAGAGUUUUUCCUCUUUUAUAAUUGAUAUAUAUAUCUUCAGGGAGUUUUUUUUUUUUUGAGGAUCUGCUAGUUUCUGAUGGUAUCUCUUUACACUCUCAUCCAUUUAUUUUAGCAUCUAUCAGUAGGACUUAGAGCAAGCACUGUUUACCACUGUAGAAUUUACCUAGUGGUGAUUUUGUAGUUUCUUCGACCGUUAACCAUUUAACUGACAGUCUUCUGUAAUGAAGAGGCAGGUGCUCCUUUUCCUUCACUUCCUUGUUGAUUCGUUUUUAUCAGUAAAGACUCAAAGAUGUCCAUGGUAUUUUGUAGGUCAUAGUUGAUGUCACUGUAGAUCAUGUUGCUCACAUUGUUCUGGUUUGACCACUAGAAAGCUCCUCCCUUGUGCCUGUGUUCUGAUCUGUUCCCUAUCCUUUUUGAAACUUUCUUACAAGAAACUCCAAGUUCAUUCUUUCUGUUUGUCCGUCCAUCUGCCUGUCCGUCCUUUCAUACAUCCUUAUGUCCAUCUAUCUGUACAUACAUACAUCUCCCCAUCUCAGCUCUAGAACCAUCUUUUCCAGAGAGCCUUGACUUCUCGUUUUAGAGGAUGGCAUUAACCUAGGUCAUGCCAGCAGUGUUGUGCACACUUUCACCCUGGUAGCAGAAACAGGUGCAUCUCUGAGUUUGAGGCCAUUCUGGUCUACAGAUGACAGUCAGGACUGUUACAUAAAGAAACCCUGCCUC
rnacentral:lncRNA from 1 species